rnacentral:rRNA from 1 species
UACGUAGGGGGCAAGCGUUGUCCGGAAUCAUUGGGCGUAAAGCGCGUGUAGGCGGUCCGGUAAGUCCGCUGUGAAAGUCGGGGGCUUAACCCUCGGAUGCCGGUGGAUACUGUCGGGCUUGAGUACGGAAGAGGCGAGUGGAAUUCCUGGUGUAGCGGUGAAAUGCGCAGAUAUCAGGAGGAACACCAAUUGCGAAGGCAGCUCGCUGGGACGUUACUAACGCUGAGACGCGAAAGCGUGGGGAGCAAACAGG